AAGCUGUGAAAAUACUUUGUUUCUUUUAUAAAGUAAAGAUGAGAUGCCUGAAGGAAGGAGUACUCAGUUGUUACUAUUUGUGUGUGUAUUAUUGAAUCACGUUCCUGGAUUUGUGACAAACUUGUUUCAGUAAGGCUGUGAAGCUCAGAAAUGAUCGUUUUAGGAACUGAAGGUACAGCUUCUCUACAGCGGUCUUUUCUUAUUUUAUUUUUUUAAAUUUAUUUUAAGUAGGCUCCAUGCCCAAUGUGGGGCUCAAACUGAUGACCCCCAGAUCUAGAGUUGCACAUUCUACCGACUGAGCCAGCGAGGCGCCUCUAGAGCAGUCUUUUCUCCAAGGGUGGCCUGUGGGUCUCGGCCAUGGAAUUCUGGGAGGCAAGGGCCUCUUAAAGAAGCAGGAUCGUGUUCCAGACCUGCUUUUGAACAGAGAGCUGAGAAAACAGAAGUCCUCAGUGAAGAUCUGUUACAGAAUUGUUCGCCGUGAAACUAACUCUUGCCAAUCCGCACCUGCUCGCUUCAGCUUGAAGCAGUCUGCUGUACGCUUCCAUCACGUCGACGGCUGAUGCUGUUUCCCACCCAUUCGACAGGAGCCGUUCUUUCUAGAAUGUGCAUCGGAGAGAAAAGGCAAGGUACGAGGCACUGUUGCACACAUCCAAGGCACUCUUGGAGCACAUGAGAACUUUAUUUGAAGACCCAUCUCAGAUGACUCCUUUUUCAAAAUCCUUUU